CAGAGUUCACGCCCUUCGGGGCGGACCUCCCACCCUUUGUAUACAUUGCCUUUGUUGCUUUGGCGGGCCGCCGCAAGGCCACCGGCUCCGGCUGGUGCGCGCCCGCCAGAGGACCCAAACCCUGUCUUACAGUGUCGUCCGAGUACUAUACAAUAGUUA
rnacentral:misc_RNA from 1 species